GAUGAACGCUGGCGGCGUGCCUAAUACAUGCAAGUCGAGCGAAUGGAUUAAGAGCUUGCUCUUAUGAAGUUAGCGGCGGACGGGUGAGUAACACGUGGGUAACCUGCCCAUAAGACUGGGAUAACUCCGGGAAACCGGGGCUAAUACCGGAUAAUAUUUUGAACUGCAUGGUUCAAAAUUGAAAGGCGGCUUCGGCUGUCACUUAUGGAUGGACACGCGUCGCAUUAGCUAGUUGGUGAGGUAACGGCUCACCAAGGCAACGAUGCGUAGCCGAGCUGAGAGGGUGGUCGGCCACACUGGGACUGAAGCACGGCCCGGACGCCUACGGGAGGCAGCAGUAGGGGAUCUUCCGCAAUGGACGAAAGUCCGACGGAGCAACGCCGCGUGAGUGAUGAAGGCUUUCGGGUCGUAAAACUCUGUUGUUAGGGAAGAACAAGUGCUAGUUGAAUAAGCUGGCACCUUGACGGUACCUAACCAGAAAGCCACGGCUAACUACGUGCCAGCCGCCGCCGUAA
rnacentral:rRNA from 1 species